rnacentral:rRNA from 1 species
GAUGAACGCUGACAGAAUGCUUAACACAUGCAAGUCGAUUCAAGUUACCUUCGGGUAACAAGGAUGGCGGACGGGUGAGUAACGCGUGGGUAACCUGCCCUAUGCAGGGGGACAACACCGGGAAACUGGUGCUAAUACCGCAUAACAUACGAGGUUCGCAUGAACUUUGUAUCAAAGAUUUAUCGGCAUAGGAUGGACCCGCGUUGGAUUAGCUAGUUGGUGAGAUAACAGCCCACAAAGGCGACGAUCCAUAGCCGGCCUGAGAGGGUGAACGCCCACCCUGGGACUGAGACACGGCCCCGACUCCUACGGGGGGCAGCAGUGGGGAAUAUUGCACAAUGCGCGCAAGCCUGAUGCAGCGACGCCGCGUGAAGGAUGAAGGUCUUCGGAUUGUAAACUUCUAUCAGCAGGGAGGAACCAAAUGACGGUACCUGACUAAGAAGCCCCGGCUAACUACGUGCCAGCCGCCGCCGUAAUAC